rnacentral:rRNA from 1 species
AUUGAACGCUGGCGGCAGGCCUAACACAUGCAAGUCGAGCGAAGGAAGGGAGCUUGCUUCUGGAUUCAGCGACGGACGGGUGAGUAAUGCCAAGGAAUCUGCAUGGUAGUGGGGGCUAACGUCCGGAAACGGACGCUCAUACCGCAUACGUCCUGAGGGCGAAAGUAGGGGAUCUUCGAACCUCACGCUAUCAGAUGAGCCUAGGUCGGAUUGGCUGGUUUGUGGGUUAAUGGCCUACCAAGGCGACGAUCGGUAACUGGUCCGAGAGGAUGAUCAGUGUCACCGGAACUGAAGCGUGGUCCAGAAUACUACGAGUGGCAGACGUGGCGAAUAUUGGAGAGUGGGAGAAGUGCUGAUCCAGGCAUGCCGCGUGUGUGAAGGAGGUAUUCGGAUUGUAAAACUCUUUAAGUUGGGGGGAAGUGCAGUAAGUUAAUACCUUGCUGUUUUGACGGUACUAACAGAAUAAGCACCGGCUAACUACGUG